UGAGCUGCUCCCCGACGACCCAACGACUUUCCAACGAGACUCCGCCGUCGUCAGGCCAUAUCCGGCCUGCGCACCAGCUCCAUCGUGACCGCCUCCUCAUCGUCGUCCUCUCCAUUGUUGUAUCUUGCUCUAUCGGUGCCUGAGAAGAGAGAAUCGAAGCGGAGAAGCACCGACUGUUAUGCGCUUUCCUCCGGCGACUUCGCCGCUCCUCACGGCGUCUCCGGGCACCAAUUGGGUAGAUUCUGUGGAUUAGUUGCUGAACUCCAAGGUUCCUUAUUUAAAGUGAAGCUAGCAGAGAGUUUCUUGCCAUCAAUUCGUUGAGGAAGCUGCUAGUUUGAAUACAAGGUAAUUAAAGAAAAUUCCAGCUUUGAGUGAAAAGCAAGUUUAAAUUGUAGGGCUGCUAUGAAAUCUAGGUUGCUGAAAUGAAAGUGGUAAUGGAAUUCCUAGAGUGUAGAAUCUGUGAAGUUGGUUGAUUCCCUGUAAUGGAAAUUAAUGGAUUUGCUCGUAUAUGAUGUUCUUGGAUUUCAGAGAAGUGAAUGUGAAGUAAAAAUUCAGUUUUUAAUUGAACUGUGGAAAUCAAGUUCUUGUGAUCAUUGUCUUCCAGUUGAUUGAUUUGGAGUUGAAAAGGGCUUGGUAGGAAAUGUUGGUAUUUCGUGAAGUUUAAAUCAUUGCUUGAUUACUAUCAAUUGUCAUUCUAUAUAUUAGAGAACUAGAUUGAAGUUAGAUUAUAUAUCUAUGAAAUUUUGGGUUUUUCCUUAUGCAUGGGAAUCAGUUCUCAAGUUAGUAAUUGAGAUAAUAUUGUGAUACACGGUGGAAGAUGUAGACGGGAGGACACUUGGGUAAUAUACAGCAAGUUUGUUGAUUUUGUUUGAAAACCUGGACAGAGAAUUGAAUUUUAAUUCCUAUUGGAAUCAUGCUAGUAGUGUAAUGGGUGACCUUAGCAAUUGAGUGCACCUAUUAAAAAUUUUUAUCUAAGGAAAGGAAAUUGUGGAGA